CAGCAGCCACGGGAAUACGGAGGAAGCUAGCGUUGUUCGGAAUUACUGGGCGUAAAGCGCGCGUAGGCGGUUACUCAAGUCAGAGGUGAAAGCCCGGGGCUCAACCCCGGAACUGCCUUUGAAACUAGGUAACUAGAAUCUUGGAGAGGUCAGUGGAAUUCCGAGUGUAGAGGUGAAAUUCGUAGAUAUUCGGAAGAACACCAGUGGCGAAGGCGACUCGCUGGACAAGUAUUGACGCUGAGGUGCGAAAGCGUGGGGAGCAAACAGGAUUAGAUACCCCUGUAGUCCCUGUCUCUUAUAA
rnacentral:rRNA from 1 species